AUUGAACGCUGGCGGCAUGCCUUACACAUGCAAGUCGAGCGGAAGCGCGGGGACCACCCUGGUGGCGAGUGGCGAACGGGCGAGUAAUGCACAGGAACGUAUCCUCCCGAGGGGGCUAACCUAGCGACAGUUGGGCUAAUCCAGCACGAGCUCAGAGUAGGAAAGCGGGGGAUCAGAGAGGGCCUCGCGCCGGAGGAGCGCCCGUUGUCCGAUUAGCUAGUUGGUGGGGUAAAGGCUUACCAAGGCAACGAUAGGUAGCCGAUCUGAGAGGGUGAUCAGCCACACUGGAACUGAGACACGGCCCAGACUCCUACGGGAGGCAGCAGUAGGGAAUUUUGGGCAAUGGGCGCAAGCCUGAUCGAGCCAUGCCGCGUGAGUGAUGAAGGCCUUCGGAUUGUAAAGCUCUGUCAUUCGGGACGAAAUUAUGUGGACGUAUACGCCUAUCUGUUGACGGUACCGAAAGAGAAAGCAACGGCUAACUACGUG
rnacentral:rRNA from 1 species